rnacentral:rRNA from 1 species
AAAAACUCCGGUGGUAUAAGAUGGAUCCGCGCCUGAUUAGCUAGUUGGCGGGGCAGCGGCCCACCAAGGCGACGAUCAGUAGCCGGCCUGAGAGGGCGACCGGCCACAUUGGGACUGAGACACGGCCCAAACUCCUACGGGAGGCAGCAGUGGGGAAUAUUGCACAAUGGGGGGAACCCUGAUGCAGCGACGCCGCGUGAGUGAAGAAGUAUUUCGGUAUGUAAAGCUCUAUCAGCAGGGAAGAAGAUGACGGUACCUGACUAAGAAGCCCCGGCUAACUACGUGCCAGCAGCCGCGGUAAUACGUAGGGGGCAAGCGUUAUCCGGAUUUACUGGGUGUAAAGGGAGCGUAGACGGCAGGGCAAGUCUGGAGUGAAAGCCCGGGGCCCAACCCCGGGACUGCUUUGGAAACUGCCAUGCUGGAGUGCUGGAGAGGUAAGCGGAAUUCCUAGUGUAGCGGUGAAAUGCGUAGAUAUUAGGAGGAACACCAGUGGCGAAGGCGGCUUACUGGACAGUAACUGACGUUGAGGCUCGAAAGCGUGGGGAGCAAACAGGAUUAGAUACCCUGGUAGUCCACGCCGU